UGAUAAUAGUACGAUAUGGGCCAAGGGAAGACGGUGAGAAUCCGUCGCGGACCCGCCGCCGUAACCGGGUACGAAAACCGCAACAGUGUCACUGUCCGAAUGGAUGGGAAGACGCGGUAAGUAGGAUGAUCCGGAAGUCGGAAGACCUGCCCGGAGAAGCUUUUGUAU
rnacentral:ncRNA from 2 species